AUCGAACGCUGGCGGCAGGCCUAACACAUGCAAGUCGAACGAGUGGCGGACGGGUGAGUAAUGUCUGGGAAACUGCCCGAUGGGGGGGGAUAACUACUGGAAACGGUAGCUAAUACCGCAUACCAUCGGAUGUGCCCAGAUGGGAUUGGCUAGUAGGUGGGGUAACGGCCCACCUAGGCGACGAUCCCUAGCUGGUCUGGGAGGAGGACCGCCCACACGGGACCUGAGACACGGUCCAGCCUCCUACGGCAGGCAGCAGUGGGGAAUAUUGCAAAAUGGGCGCAAGCCUGACGCAGCCAUACCGCGUGUAUGAAGAGGGCCUUCGGGUUGUAAAGUACUUUCAGCGAGGAGGCGUUACUCACAGAAGAAGCACCGGCUAACUCCGUGCCAGCAGCCGCGGUAAUUC
rnacentral:rRNA from 1 species